rnacentral:sRNA from 1 species
UGGUGAGGGGUCAAUCUGGCCAGGGACACACGGUGUCGGCCCUCUGAUUCGCCAGGGUUGGAUUCAGGUGAUCUGGCUGGCUAGGCUGGGUCCCCUCUCCAUCCCUCAAUCUGCUGCCACGUGCAUCCUCUGAGAAGGCUGGUGGUGCUUGGGUCAAAGAGGAUGGGACCGCAUCCCGAUAGAGGAGGUACUGGCUUCGGUCAAGGGUAUGAUGAGUAAAGCCCCGCCGCCCCUCUAGAACCUCCAGACAAGGCUUCUCUACACAAAUUACAAAAAUUACAGUCAUCGGUAGUGCACGCUAGUGCGUCCUAGCUACUCAAG